CAUGAUCUUUCGUUGACCAGGCCA
rnacentral:siRNA from 1 species